AUGCCUGUAAUCCCAGCACUUUGGGAGGCCGUGGAGGGCGGAUCACGAGGUCAGGAGAUCGAGACCAUCUUGGCUAACACGAUGUUCUCCUGGACAACUGAGAUCAUGAAUUCCGUUGCAACUGUCUUAUCACCAACAUCACCAAGCAUGCUACUUUAGGGGUAUUCCAAAGAGCUGCAAAAUCACUCAAGAGACACAGGUGGGUCUAGAAAUAAAGAUACUGUCAAUGACAUCACUAGUUAUGAAGAACACAGUGCCUAUGAAUUUUCACUUCUGUUUUAAACACAUCCAGUGGUCUCUAAGUUGAGGACUUUAGGUCUUGCUGUGAAUCAGCUUUAAUGGAUGGUAGUGCCAGGUAAAGUUGGGGUUCAGCAAAAUAGUUAAUAAAUGUGUUUUCAGUAGAUUGAACUUGGAUAGGUACCAGGUGCUUUUAGUCAAGAAUCCUCUCCAGGAGGAUUAUGUCCUUGCUGCCUGGAAAGCAAUUGCUCCAUCUCCUCCUAUUCCAUCAACCUGUAAAAGGCUACCCUGUGGAAAGCAUUCAUGUACAAAGAGUUUCAUGAUCCCUAAAAAUGCCUUCCCUGUUUCCUUUCCUUUCUUUUUGGGCAUCCCCAAAUGCCAUUCCUUGUUUAAGUAUGAUUAAAUUCUAGGAUAACUCGUGACAAAUUGUAAACUUGGAAUUAAUGUAGGUUGGGAACUUCAUAAGGUUCCUUUUACAUGUCCCAUUGGAGAUUAAUAAGGAUGUGAAGCACCGAAGGGAAAGUCAAAAUAGGAUGCGAUAUAGGUCAGGUUAGACCUUGGUCCAUAAUCUGCCUCCAGCAGCUCUGUUUGGCUGCCCGAAGGGAGUUACUCCAUGUUGUGAACAUGAGAAUCACUGCCAGGAACCAGGGACAGGUAUGGAGAUCUUUCAAAGUGAGUUAAUUUCAUCUUUCUGGAUUCAGAGAAAGAAGCUGGCCUGAGAGUGUGUGGGAAGAGAAGAUGUGUUCUGGGAAUCACUGCUAGCUUUUAUGAUACUGGGUAUUAAGGAAUACGCUUUUGAAAUUUAGAAAGGAAUAGUGACUAUGAUCUUAUUUUAACCUGCUGUUCUGUCAAAUAAUUUAAGUGAUAGUUAUAUUUUAGAGCAGUUUGAUUUUACCACCUGAGGAAUAAAUCAAGAAAAAGGGAAAAUUUUAAAUGGGCUAAGAAAGGGGAUAGCAGGCUUAACUAAAUCAUUAGUACUCUAGUGACUGCUUGUAUUGAUUCUGGAAAGUAAAGAUGCAACUAAAUUCAUGUUAACUUCAAAUUAUUGCCCAGAAAUUUAUACCUGUUUUUAUAUCUUUAUUGACAAAAUAAUGCAAAUAUGCCACUUAAAUUCUAAUGGGG
rnacentral:lncRNA from 1 species